AUUGAACGCUGGCGGCAUGCUUUACACAUGCAAGUCGAACGGUAACAGGCCUUCGGGUGCUGACGAGUGGCGAACGGGUGAGUAAUGCAUCGGAACGUACCCAGAGGUGGGGGAUAACGCAGCGAAAGCUGUGCUAAUACCGCAUGUGAUCUGAGGAUGAAAGCGGGGGACCGAGCAGCAAUGUUUGGCCUCGCGCCUUUGGAGCGGCCGAUGUCGGAUUAGCUAGUUGGUGGGGUAAAGGCCUACUAAGGCGACGAUCCGUAGCUGGUCUGAGAGGACGACCAGCCACACUGGGACUGAGACACGGCCCAGACUCCUACGGGAGGCAGCAGUGGGGAAUUUUGGACAAUGGGCGCAAGCCUGAUCCAGCAAUGCCGCGUGCGGGAAGAAGGCCUUCGGGUUGUAAACCGCUUUUGGCAGGAACGAAACGGUGUCCGCUAAUACCGGGCGCUAAUGACGGUACCUGCAGAAUAAGCACCGGCUAACUACGUG
rnacentral:rRNA from 1 species